rnacentral:lncRNA from 1 species
UUCCUCCGCUCGAUUGGUUCUACUGUGGGUCUGGACUGAUCUCCAUGUCCUGUUGUGGGGCUUUUACAGCCUUUGGAUUGUGAAAACUGCUGAGAGAGACUUGCAAUCCAGUCACAUAAGUAUAAUAAAGAAAUAUUGGUCCUCAUGGAAGAAGAGCAAGAUUUACCAGAGCAACCAACAGAGUCUUGCCUUGUCACCCAGGCUGGAGUGCAGUGGUGCAAUCUCAGCUUACUGCGACCUCCACCUCCCAGGUUCAGACGAUUCUCCUGCCUCAGCCUCCUGAGUAGCUGAGAUUAUAGGCGUGCACCACCACACACAGCUAAUUUUUGUAUUUUAGUAGAGAUGGGGUUUCACCAUGUUGGCCAGCCUGGUCUCGGACUCCUGACCUCAGGUGAUCCACCUGCCUUGGCCUCCCAAAGUGCUGGGAUUAGAAGCGUGAGCCACUGGACCCGGCCAUAUUCCUAAGUAUUUUAUUCCUUUUGAUGCUAUUGUGAAUGGAUUUUUUUUUUCAUUUUUGAAUUGUUCACUGCAAGUAUAUAGAAAUAUAAUUGAUUUUUGUAUGUUUGUCUUGUAUUUUGCUGCCUUGCUGAACUUGUUUAUCAGUUCUAGUGGUUUCUUAAUGGAUUCGUUAGGAUUUCUGUAUACAAAAUUAUGUCAUGCAAAAAGAGAUUCUGAUUUUUUCACUUUUAACCCUAACGGAGCUUUUUCAGCUUUAUUGCUUUCUUACUUCCUGGCAGCUUGUAUUACUGUCCUACUACUGUCCUGGUAUGGCCCCAAUUCCUUGGAUACCAGCUGCUUGUAUAAUCUAUACUGGUUUUGUUAAUGAAAAUUGUUCUCUGUAGGACUGGUUGCUACUUGAAUCUUUGCUCACUUUGCUGUGUAGUUUUCAGUAUUCAUUAUUGCAAGUACUAUGUUACUCUGUAAACUCUCCAGAAAAUUGUUGCUCAAUCUUUGCUAUUUCUCUUAACAACCAGGAAUCAUUUUCUGUCAGUUUCUAGCUUGUAUUGUUUGAACUGAUACUUCUAUAAUUGAGUAAA